AUAGACUCAUGGUUUGAAGUGAACAGAUCUUGUCCAGAACACCCUGCUGAUUGACCCUGCUGGGCCUGCUUACAGACUCCUCUCAAAGGUUUAUUUUAUUUAUUCCAAGUAAAUGCCCAGAACAGCUGACGGUGUCAGGCAAAUCAGGGACAUUGGCUCUUUUUACCCUCACCUCAAAAUCUGAUGACAAGCAAGGGAGAGUGAGGCAGAGGGAUUGGAUCCCAGCUCCAGAGUGCGGGUCCAAAAUACCGGCGUGAUGUUUGGCUUCCGAUGGGCCUGCCUGGACUGAACCAGAUGCCCCAGCCUACCAGCCUGCCCUCAGGGAGACACACGCUGUUGCCACCGUGGAGCGGCAACUCUCAGCAAGAUGGAGCAGGACUGACUUCUUCCAACCCACACAGGGACAGCCAGCCCCUGUUCCUGGGAGGAGGCUCCUCGGACACUGGACAGAGCUGAGCUUGGGACACCAGAGAGAACAGGGCACCUUCUGCACUGACUUCCAGAAAAUGGUCCUCCCUGAGGGCACCCAGUGGAUGAGAGCGAGUCUGAGAGAAGAAUGAAUUGACCUCUAUCCUUCCCCUCACCCUCGACCCAGGAGGGAAAGGGCAUUUUCUUUAUCACCUUUGAAAGGCGUUGUGGGUCUGUCUUUAAAAAGUGUUUACAAACAACAAAAAAUUCUAUAAAAAAGUCUCGUGUCGA